rnacentral:rRNA from 1 species
UACAGAGGGUGCGAGCGUUGUCCGGAUUUAUUGGGCGUAAAGAGCGUGUAGGCGGCCAUACAGGUCCGUUGUGAAAACUGGAGGCUUAACCUCCAGACGUCGAUGGAAACCGUAUGGCUAGAGUCCGGAAGAGGAGAGUGGAAUUCCUGGUGUAGCGGUGAAAUGCGCAGAUAUCAGGAGGAACACCGAUGGCGAAGGCAGCUCGCUGGGACGGUACUGACGCUGAGGCGCGAAAGCGUGGGGAGCAAACAGG